CGGGACGUAGCGCAGCCUGGUAGCGCACUUGCUUGGGGUGCAAGGGGUCGCCAGUUCAAAUCUGGCCGUCCCGACCA
rnacentral:tRNA from 1 species